CGACGCAUAUUUUUGAGCUCAUGCGAGGAGUCAGCAUAGUCCCUUGGAAAGAUUUUGUUGAGGAAGAAAAUGAGGCUCUCAUUCUAAAAUUCUCACUUGAGUAUCAACAUAGCAACCAACUCAUCGAAGUCGUAUAUUUUGAGUGUAGCCACAUUAAAAUGAACUAUAUAGUCACACAGAGAUUCUCUCUCUUCUUGUUGGAUCGAGAAGAAGCUGUCAGGUGUUCUUUGGUUGUGCUCAGUUAUUGCUAAAGUGCACAAUAAACUACUUUUCAAGCUGCUCAAAUAAGUAGAUAGACUCUGAUUAGAGUCUAGAGUACCAUAUUCGUAUCAACUUUUUAAGAGUUGCCAGAAA
rnacentral:lncRNA from 1 species